CAUAGCAGGACGCUAAAGCGGUUUCUAGAGCACCAUAGUUUAAAGCAUAGGGCCACCGACCAAGCGUCAGUAUUUGACGAGUAAGGAGU